GUGUUCACUGUUAGAUGUGAAAUGCUUUUAAACCCUUCUAUAACAAGCACGCUAUUCAUGCGGAGAGGGAAGGAGAAGGAGGAGGUACCUCCAAAUGUCAUCCACUUCCAUCAGAGGCUCCUGAGGAUACUGCUGUUGCUCAGGACUACAGAUUUCCGACGUCCAGAAUAAUGCCCACCAGUUAGUACAAUGUGUGUCUGCUUCAAGGUGCUGCCAUCCAUCCCUCUGGAACAAACAGAGGAAAUGCAUCAGGAGGCCUCGGCCGCAGAUGGAAAGCACAUCACCAUGCGGCGCUUACGCCGCGAAAGCCCCCAGAUGAAAGCCAAUUUCAAUGAGCAUUGUGUUUCAAGGCCCACUUCCUCCUGGCUCUGGAAAGCUUAAGAAGGAACAUCCCACUUGUGUCUGCGGACACAAAGGGCCGCUGUGGCUCGGGAGAUGUUAUCAGCCUUCCUGUGCCACGGCAGUCGCGUUCCAGUGGCGUCUCCCAAGAAUUGCUCAUUGUUCCAAGGGAGGUUGGACUCCUUUGGGUGGGAUCUCGUGGCAUCCAGCUCAGAUGGAAGUAGGUGGUGCUGGGAGGCCAGCCAGGCUCAUGACAAAGAUCUCUGGUCACAGGGGAGCUACACUGGGAGACCCAGCUAACAAAGUCCUUAGUGAAGCUAUUAAUCACAUAAUUCCAGACUCUGCAUGCUGUUGUGACAUUAAUAUCAGAGGUAACUUCAAAAAUGUGCAAAGUGCAUUAUGAAUUUUCCCAGACAGAUUAGGUACGUACAUAAGUUUUAUAAACCUAGUCUUAACCUUCUUUUUCAAAUCUCCUUUUCUAGGAACUCCAUUAAAGCAUGAAGAACAAUAGUGUGAUUAUAACUGCUGUAACACAAAGAGCUGAGUGAUAUCCUGGAGUCAUGCUGUUGUUGCUCUGAGUGAGUUCUAGAGCAGAGAAUGAUUUGUUGCAGAAACUUAGGGUCAAAUUUUGUCAGGGGAUUAGAAAGUUGCCUCUAAAUACAUUCACUCACCUGCCACAAAGCUGAUCAUAUGGUAUGAUUACUUUUAUAUAUAUAUAUAUAUAUAUAUAUAUAUAUAUUGUAGCCGCAAGUCUGA
rnacentral:lncRNA from 1 species